rnacentral:rRNA from 1 species
UGAGGAUUACCUCGUCGUCUAGCCAGAGGUAGCGGUUGGUCUGGAAGCGUGCGGGCUAGGUCGGGAUGCGGGGGAGGUGCCGGCUAGGUAGGGGCACGGCGCCGGCUAGGUACGGGAUACGGCGGCGGCUACGGAGGAGGAGGUGGAGGUAAGGGUUCGCUCCCGCGGGCGCCGGCGCCAGAAGAGGGGGUCGGUGGUACCGACGUCUAGGUGAGUGCCGGCCAGCAGAUUCGACGUUCGUACCUACCUACCUAGGUCCUUCCAUAGGAAGGAGGGACCCACCUCGCUCGACGUGUAGGGUAAGCCGGGAGACAUCAGCCGGUAGAGGCGGAGGAGGAGCGGCAGCGGCGGCGACCCCUAGCGCAGAAGUGGUUCGCGUUCGAGGCGGGGUAGGCUGGCUGGCGUUUCCCCAACAGGUAACAUUUAAAAGUUCCUCUAAGUUUACAAGGAGAAGACCUACUAACUUCCCUAUGAACUUCGAUCCCGUUAGGUUCAUUCUAUCGAAGUAGGAGUCCGUUGUCCAAAUACAAUAGAAUAGUACCUCAGUAAAAAUUCAAACACGGGUUGCGGAAGUAGGAAUCUUACCGACGGGUCUACCGUUCGGUGGCAUGAGUCCGCUGACGGCGCGAUCGUCCCACGAGGUUGAAAACUACGACCGCUUCGAAAACCUUACUACCGAUGUAUUAAACAAUCAGAGGCAACCUUCGAAUUAAUUUGACUCCAAGUCUACACACCGUUUCCUAAAGUUAAAAGGACAAAUGUGUUUCCUUUGAACUCCUUCCAAGUCUAAAGAGUACGAGCCACGACACGAGAGUUCCAAUGUAUCUGUUUUUACGGAGGAUAAAUGUGUUACCGUUGGGCUGCUUCCUACUGCCCCGCCCAGCCCUCCGCCCCUUUCGGCAGGUACCGCUAGGACCACCGCAACGAUUACCGCAAUCACCGUGACGGAGAGGAGUACCACGGGCUGUACGAGAGAUACGGUCCGAGGUUGCCGCACCUAGCGCCGCGGCGGGACAGCGAGGGUGCGGGCACGAAGUCGUCUAGGCACAAACUCAGCACGUAUGGAAAUCGGCGGAGGGGAGGUUACAGGUGCUGAGACUAUAUGGCACAAACAAUCAGAACUGACCACAAACAAGAGGCAUAACAACACGUCCUCCGACCUCUUGUCGUCCCUCUUUUCCCUCAGCACCUACCUCCAAGACAUGAAGACAACAUAGUUGUAGAAGAGGUACUCAGAAAACGGGGGUGAGACAAAAACCAAACCCGGCUUUGCAGUAGCAGAACUAAGAAAUGCACCAAGUAACCGAGUCUGAACAGGAUGUACCGGCUCGCUCUAGCUCCGAUCGGCGGCCAUUACAAGAAGAGAGCACGUUCAAGGCGUGACGUAACUUCGUAGGUUGUGUACUACAUCGAUGCAAUGUCCACCCUGUAGUCGGUUCAUACAAAGCUCCACUCUGUAGGUAGUUCAAACAAACCUCUUUAACACGUCAGGUCGAGGACGCACGACCAGUGGCUCGAGGUGACACAGGUCGAGUAGGCUGGUACACGAGGUGAUGUAGAUCCAGUCGGCUAGAACACCGUCUCGAUGUGACUGCGUUCUCGUUUAUCAAAAUGUUAAAGAAACAACAAGGAAACAUGACCUAUUGACACGUAAAAAUCUCCACACUUCUACAUUACGUUAUUGUCAUUGACCCGCAUCCGUGUAGGCAGAGCUAUUCUUAAUACCCUUGCCUGUUUCCGUUCCGUAAGGUUACAUUCUUUACCUACUUCCGUUCCAUACAGUAAGAUUUUUUCUGUUCCGUAUGGUCCUACGACGUAACGAAUUACAGGUCAAGAGAUGCGAAAGGGAUAUCGUUGGAAAAAAUCUAGAAUACUCAACACAAAAGGAUUGUUUUUUUACAGGUAUACCUAAGUGACUUUGUUCUAAUAUAAUAGUCGUUAAGACAAACGUACAUUAAUUAAUCACUAUCGGAUACGGAGUGUGCUGACAAAAAGGUCAAGUCAACAUAGGAAGUUAUACCCACGUUACUUCACACCUAUCUGUUUGUGUAAAGAAAAUGACACUAUAGUAACUGGAACAACUAAAUAUAAAAGUUUUGACUAUCCUUACUUUAGGUAUACUUAGAACACUACGGUUUCGAGAUUCACGACUACUAAAUUUAAGGAUAAUUUUUUUAGGAAUUUAUCUUUCACCUGGAAUAUCGCCUCUUAUUACACAUUCGAUGUCCACCUCAGGUAGAGUUCCCUUCACUUUGGCUUUUGUAUCUGGUGUAAUCUCAGCUUCUAUUCCACUUACGUUAGUGUCUAGGUGUACUCUCAGUCUAUUCUAACCACUUACGUUAGUCUUGACAGUUUACACACAAAAGGUUAAAAAGUACAGCGUACUAGAGACGGGUGAAAUGAUCUUCUUCUCGGAAGGAUGUACCACUUCCACCUAUUCCUCGGUAAGUUGAAUCUCCUUCACAGAGUUAUUACACACACAAUGGUUCCAACUUAACAGAUGAGCGAGAGAACCUCCAAUACAAGGAAGGGCAGAUAAUUCGACAAUCAUAGGAAUAGUGGCACAGACCGAGGUGACUUUUCGAGUGUGGCGGUACGAACUUCUUGUAUUUACCACCAUGUAAUAAGACUAUAUAAAAUACACGGCGGUAACACCAUCUCGGGCCGUACUUACCACCCAGGUCAUAUAUUCGUCCACCAUGAUCGUGAUUCUAUCCUUCCAGUAAAGGCGGGAACAGGAAACAACUACCGGACGGUUCCGCCGCAGCUAAUGACCAAGUUAAACUUGUGCUCAAUCACCUAAAAUAAUAUUUUCACUCCAAAUUCUCACCCACUACCAAUAAACCCAACUAUACAAGUCAAUACCGGCAGACUCGCUUUAUUAAAGGUAUGGAAUCUUUUAUACCGUUUCACGUAAAUUAAUCUCUACAGUAACGUCGUUUAACGUACUCACUCGCCAAGUAUAAAAAAGUAAUUCAGUAUGUAAAAAAAACCAAUCCUACUUUCCCAUAUACGUAACCCCCCAACAAAGUUCUCAAUUAUUACCUGUGCCACCACAUAGUCAACGUACGGUUGUUGAUAUAGUAUAAAAACAAAGUAGCAUUAUGUGCUGUAAGUAAAGACACAAUGUUGUACCGUUACCUAGUCCUCUGCAGCCUAGGAGGAAGAACCGAGUCCCCACAGUACCCUCCGCGUACGGAGCGGGGGGAACCACCGCCACCCUAGCCGCACUCGUGCCCUUCCCUCCUAAUCCCGUCUCUCAUCCCGCCAACCACCACCUGAGAAAUAAUCGCCAGGCACCCCUUCAUGCCACGCUUCCUCUCUACACAGUAACGCUACCACUACGCCCGCAGUAGAUGGAAAUUUCCUCUCACGAGGUCACUCUUUACAGGACGAUGUUGUUCUUUAGUUCGUCCUUCCCUCCCAGGACGUCCUUUUCCCUUCCCACGCAGUACCCCACCUUAAAAAACAACCCUGAAACCUGGCGGACAAAUUCUAUUGUACUGUCUAUCAUGCCUGUUGGUAUACAGAGGGGGUACCCGACCUAAACCCCCACCUACCUGACAGGUCUACCAACCUAAAACCUAUCGGGCAAUCCCCGAACAAACUACGAGUUUGUGCGGGCCUACAUUCUCUUUACUUAAAGUUGGAACCUUUGCCGGAAUUAGCAAAUAAACUAAAUAAAUAUACGUGAUAUCGAGCAUAGUAUGUAUUUCUUCGUGAGCUUUAUUUCGUUUGUGCCGACUUGAAUUAGUAAACAAACUAAGUAAAUAUGUAUAACAUCGGGCAUGGUAUGUAUGUCUUCGUGAGCUUUAUUUCGUUCGGCUAACCCUAAAGGCUAUAUAGACUUGUUGUUGCAAAUAUAGACAUACCAUAAGGUUACUCAUAUCCGCCCAUUGUUUAAGCCUUAUGUUUGUAAAUAAAAACAGUAGUGAUAUAUUAUAUUAUAAUUAAAACCUUUAACGCCCCUACACGGAGCGAUAAAACCAAAAGUAAAAUACGAGACCACCUUGUCAUUUCUUGGCCAAUUCGGCGAAACGCGCUACGCAUAACAGACAAUUUACAAACUUCUGGAACCUACACUUCAUGAGCACGAUUGAUGUAAAGAAACGAACACACCCUACUCAUACUUAACUCCUCGUCAAAAAUAAUAUAAAAGAUUUUGUACCACGUUUACUUCGAUUUCUUAGAAAAGGUAACCCGCUCUUAAAGAAUUCGCGUAGUUCAUCAUCUAGAAUUAUUAAACAUUACCUAAAAAUUAACCUAGUAACGAGAUAUACAUAUGUUGUAGUUAAACGUAAAAACAAUAGUUAAUAACAUUCACUUCACCUGAAGUUAAUAUAGAUAUACAUAUGUAGUAGUUAAACGUAAAAACAAUAGUUAAUAACAUUCACUUCACCUGAAGUUAAUAAUACGUUAACACAAACACGAUAUAACAGAGAUGUACACUUUAAAUUAUACGUAAUUAAAAUAUAUUGUGGUCGUUUUAUAAAGUUUUCGGGCAUCGUUGCGUGCCCGUCAGAUGAUCAGGGUCAUCCACAUGAUGUUCGUUCGAAAGCCUUUAAUUCAAAGUUCCAGCACGACGUUUAUAUCGAUCUCUUGAAGAAAGACAGAUAAAAAGACGUGUACAUCUGACUUUCACUUCAUUGCGAAGAUCUCAAAUUAUCAAAAUUGAUCACUUACACAAUCAAAAUACUUUUAUCUAUAUACCCCAAACUAGACCUUAAAAGAAGACAUUAAAAGAUAACGGUCAAACGGUGACGAGGGUCAGUACACUAAGUCCUUAAAUUAAUAGUCAUCAACAGAUAGUAUCAUCUUUAGGGAAGUUCACAACGUUGGAAAUAAUAACUUAACUUUUUGUAAACGGACUAUUAAAUUAAAAGAUCUCAUUUUACUCUCGUUAACCCAAAACAUGACAGCGGGGAUGACCUUUAACAUACCGUAGUACUGAAUAACUUAAUGGUCUAGGGGACAAGAAUUUUGACAAAAAUAAAUCGAAUUACGAAUUCUUGUUUAAGUUGGUUUCAAUACAAGUGCCUCUACCAUUUAUAGAAUUCUACACGGACACCAAGUCUAAAAUCUUUUAUGGAUGAGCGUCACAGUGUACGUUCAUUAUACUGGGACCGUCAUGUCAUGGAACAGUACGUCCCGGUGCUCAUUAUAUUCUGAUAACAAAACAACGACUAUUAAUCUUGCAAACCUACGAGCAACAAAUCCAAGACGCAGGUCAAACCAUCAUCACGACCACACACACCGAAUCAAUGACUACAAAACUCCAUGGGGACCUCCCCCUGCUUGAACUCUAUACACUACAAAAGUCAUUACCUUUAACCCUCUAUACGAGGAUUCAUCUAAUUUUUUUCUUAACCCAGUACCCCGAUCGACUGCUGGUACGAGAAAAGAGGAUAUACAUUAAGAAUGUUUGAUAAGGGAUUAAAAGUAAACUACGAAAGUGAUUUUAUUAUAAAACCUAACAAACAAAACACUAGUCACACGUAGAACAAACAGGAGAGGUGGUUCGUCGCAGCUGAUGAGGUAUGUUCGUGUAUUCGAAUACGGGAAUACUUCAAUACUAAUAUAUAAAUGGUUACUGAUAAUACCAACUAUCGAAAUUUCAGAAACGAAGAUAUACGUCGACUCUUACUGAAUAUUCAAGUACCGUUUUCGUCGUUGUAGUCAUGCAUUGGUGUUCGUUCGACUCCCCCAUUAUUAGAACCAUAAAUUCAGAAUCUAAGUCAUAAAACGAAAAACCUAUGUACUUGUAACUUUGAACAAAUCGUAAAGCAAAGAAUAUACGAAGUACGGUUAUUUUGACGUCAUUUUAUACUCGGCUCUAAAACGAACCGUACACAUACAUACGUACGGGACUUAAACGAAUCGUAAAAAUACGUAUGUUGAUAACCUUCGAAAAUGUACAGGACCUUGACUCGAAAACGUACGGGACACAAAAGACUUCGACUCAGAAAACAAUAACCGAUCAUGAACUUUGUCUCAGCGUCCGGAGGACGGUAUAUUGGUAAAUACUUCACGUAUACACUACGGAAUAGAACAUAAGGAUGUUUCUCAGGUCAUAAAAAAAGUACACAUUUUUCACCGACUGGACCGUAAUGUGACAAUUCACAAAACAUGCGUAAUACUUAGAACAACAUCUAUGUGUGACUCGACUUUUACAACGAUCGUCUUUAUCCAAAAGACAAUCGAUGCGUAGACCAAAUUUUGUACCAUACUGAUGAACGAAACCUUAUCAUUGCGGAACUAUAAUAGACUAGGAUAGAGUACGUAUAAAAUCAAUAAAGGUCUGUUUCGAAAUCCUUGGCUCAAGUGAUGUUGAGCUUCAGAACACGUACCUCCUCUUAACUCUAUAAACGCGUAAGACAUGAUCAGUUUUCCAACCGUAGGACCAACCUUCUAGAACACACGAUGAGAGAUGUGCUACAAGGAAGAUGUACUAUCGUGAACUGCAGAUGUACUAUCGUGAACUUCAGAUGUACUACAAAGAACAUAAGUAUCGAGUUUGGUAAACAAAUAGAAUCAAACUUGUUUUUUAUAAUAACAGAAUGUACAUUUAUUACAAAUGAUUAC